rnacentral:snRNA from 1 species
UCGCUUCUCGGCCUUUUGGCUAAGAUCAAGUGUAGUA